AAUAGGCUAAUUAAGAGCGUAAGGGGAAUGCCUUGGCUCUCAGAGGCGAUGAAGGACGUGAUAAGCUGCGAUAAGCUGUGGGGAGUGGCACAAACACUUUGAUCCGCAGAUUUCCGAAUGGGGUAACCCGGCAUAUUGAAGAUAUGUCACACUGUAAAGUGAGCGAACCUGGUGAACUGAAACAUCUAAGUAACCAGAGGAAUAGAAAACAAAAGUGAUUCCGCUAGUAGUGGCGAGCGAACGUGGAACAGCCUAAACCUGUGUUGUU
rnacentral:rRNA from 1 species